ensembl:lncRNA
CUCCUCUCCCCUCCUCCCCAAAGAAGACCACAGCUUGCGUUGCAGGGGGGAAAGGUGCGCCUUCCUCUCACCCUCCCCUACCUGCGUCGCGGGCCCUCCGCUCUCGGAGGCGCCCUCUGGAUUGUCGCCUCGGGGUAUCUACCACCGGCCGAGGGAUUGGGGCCCAAACGGCGGUUCCACCAAAGCCCCAGAAGCCGGUUUCUUUUGCAGCUGGGUUCCUUGACCAUCUGGAAGUUCACGGUUCACAUAUUGCUGAAGCCUGGCUUGGAGAAUUCUGAACAUUACUUUACUAGCAUGUGAGGUGAGUGCAAUUGUGUGGUAGUUUGAGCAUUCUUUGGCAUUGCCUUUCUUUGGGAUUGGAAUGAAAACAGACCUUUUCCAGUCCUGUGGCCACUGCUGAGUUUUCCAAAUUUUCUGGCAUAUUGAGUGCAGCACUUUCACAGCAUCAUCUUUCAGGAUUUGAAAGAGCUCAACUGGAAUUCCAUCACCUCCACUAGCUUUGUUCGUAGUGAUGCUUUCUAAGGCCCACUUGACUUCACAUUCCAGAAUGUCUGGCUCUAGAUGAGUGAUCACACCAUCGUGAUUAUCUUGGUUGUGAAGAUCUUUUUUGUACAGUUCUUCUGUGAAUUCUUGCCACCUCUUCUUAAUAUCUUCUGCUUCUGUUAGGUCCAUACCAUUUCUGUCCUAUAUCGAGCCCAUCUUUGCAUGAAAUGUUCCCUUGGUAUCUCUAAUUUUCUUGAAGAGAUCUCUAGUCUUUCCCAUUCUGUUGUUUUCCUCUAUUUCUUUGCAUUGAUCCCUGAGGAAGGCUUUUUCUCUUUUUGCUAUUCUUUGGAACUCUGCAUUCAGAUGCUUAUAUCUUUCCUUUUCUCCUUUGCUUUUGGCCUCUCUUCUUCUCACAGCGAUUUGUAAGGCCUCCCCAGACAGCCAUUUUGCUUGUUGGCAUUUCUUUUCCAUGGGGAUGGUCUUGAUCCCUGUCUCCUGUACAGUGUCACAAACCUCAUUCCAUAGUUCAUCAGGCAUUCUAUCAGAUCUAAGCCCUUAAAUCUAUUUCUCACUUCCACUGUAUAACCAUAAGGGAUAUGAUUUAGGUCAUACCUGAAUGGUCUAGCAGUUUUCCCUACUUUCUUCUAUUUAAGUCUGAAUUUGGUAAUAAGGAGCUCAUGAUCUGAGCCACAGUCAGCUCCUGGUCUUGUUUUUGUUGACAGUAUAGAGCUUCUCCAUCUUUGGCUGCAAAGAAUAUAAUCAAUCUGAUUUCAGUGUUGACCAUCUGGUGAUGUCCAUGUGUAGAGUCUUCUCUUGUGUUGUUGGAAGAGGGUGUUUGCUAUGACCAGUGCAUUUUCUUGGCAAAACUCUAUUAGUCUUUGCCCUGCUUCAUUCCGCAUUCCAAGGCCAAAUUUGUCUGUUACUCCAGGUGUUUCUUGACUUCCUACCUUUGCAUUCCAGCCCUCUAUAAUGGAAACGACAUCUUUUUUAGGUGUUAGUUCUAAAGGUCUUGUAGGUCUUCAUAGAACCAUUCAACUUCAGCUCUUCAGCGUUACUGGUUGGGGCAUAGAUUUGGAUUACUGUGAUAUUGAAUGGUUUGCCUUGGAAACGAACAGAGAGCAUUCUGUCAUUUUUCAGAUUGCAUCCAAGUACUGCAUUUUGGACUCUUUUGUUGACCAUGAUGGCUACUCCAUUUCUUCUGAGGGAUUCCUGCCCACAGUAGUAGAUACAAUGGUCACCUGAGUUAAAUUCACCCAUUCCAGUCCAUUUUAGUUCACUGAUUCCUAGAAUGUUGACAUUCACUCUGGCCAUCUCUUGUUUGACCACUUCCAAUUUGCCUUGAUUCAUGGACCUGACAUUCCAGGCUCCUAUGCAAUAUUGCUCUUUACUGCUUUGGACCUUGCUUCUAUCACCAGUCACAUCCACAACUGGGUAUUGUUUUUGCUUUGGCUCCAUCCCUUCAUUCAUUCUGGAGUUAUUUCUCCACUGAUCUCCAGUAGCAUAUUGGGCACCUACUGACCUGGGGAGUUCCUCUUUCAGUAUCCUAUCAUUUUGCCUUUUCAUACUGUUCAUGGGGUUCUCAAGGCAAGAAUACUGAAGUGGUUUGCCAUUCCCUUCUCCAGUGAACCACAUUCUGUCAGACCUCUCCACUAUGACCCACCUGUCUUGGGUUGCCCGGCAGGCAUGGCUUAGAUUCAUUGAGUUUGACAAGGCUGUGGUCCUAGUGUGAUUAGAUUGACUAGUUUUCUGUGAGUAUGGUUUCAGAGUGUCUACCCUCUGAUGCCCUCUUGCAACACCUACCAUCUUACUUGGGUUUCUCUUACCUUGGAUGAGGAGUAUCUCCUCACUGCCGCCCUUCCUGACUUUCAACGAGGGAUAGCUGCUCUAGGCCCUCCUGCGCCAGCGCAGCCACCGCUCCUUGGACGUGGGGUGGCUCCUCCCAGCCACCGCCCCUGGCCUCGGACGCGGGCUAACUCCUCUUGUCCGCCGCCCUUCGGGCAUGGGGUCCUUCCGGCUUCUGCCCCUGACCUCCGACGUGGGGUACCUCCUUUCCACCGCGCUGAGCGCGCGCCGGGGGCACCUAAAUGGAUGAGAGAGCAGUUCAGGUGGAUUUUUGGAUGAGAAUAUUCCAACCAAAAAAGAAGCACAUUCAAAGGCCUUGGGUUAGGAGGGCACUCAAGAUGUUAGAAAAACAGCAAGGAAGGGACUGUUCUGGCCUAGUAGGGGUCUUGCUCUGAGUGAGGGGCAGCCAGUGGGAAGUUCUGAACUGUGUAAAGAGGUGGAGCCGAGCACCAGAGUGACUUUCAUGGCAAAAGAAGUUAAGGAACACCUCUGCAAAAUAAUGGAAAGGGGCAGCCAUUCAGAGAUAUGGAAAAGCAUUCAUAGUGAAGAAAGAGCAAGAAAAGGUCUUGAGGUAGGAACAGAGAAGGUUAAAAAGGCAAGGUAACUAGAAUACGGCGAAAGAGUUGGGCAGUGGUAAAGGCUGGGGACAGAAAGGUAGGCAGGCGCCAGACCAAGUGGGGCUGGGAGUCAGCCUUGAGGACUUUGGGUUUUAUUCUAAUUGUAGCGGGGAGAUACUGGAAGGUGUUUAGCAAGUGCUUUGAUUUCUGCCUUGUGCCAUUGUGCUGGCCCGUGAUCGGAAGAUCAGUCAGAUGGGACAAGAGGAAAAGCUGUUAAGAGAACAUUUAGGAGGCUAUGGGGACCAUCCAGAUGAAGGAUGAUGGUAGCUUUGAUCAGGAUUUGAACAGUGGGGAUGAUGAGAAGAGUUGGAUCCAAGAUACAGUAUGAAACCAGAACCUGCAGCAUUGCUGAUGGGC